rnacentral:antisense_RNA from 1 species
AGAAUAAAAAUAAGACUAAACAUAAGCAAAUAUGUUCGUUUUCUAGCCGUUUCAACAUCCAGCUCGUGAAAA